CAAUGUCCAGGGUACAAUCCAAAAAUUACUUGACAUAUGCAGAAUCAGGAAAAUGUGACAUGCCAAUUCUAAGAUAGCUAGAUGCUGAAAUUACCAGACAAGAAUUUUAAAGCAGAUAUUAUAACUAUACGUUUACCUCAGUGAAGAAAAAUACACUUGUGAUGAAUAAAAAGAUGGGAAAUCUCAAAUGAGAAACAGAAAGUAUAAAAAGAACCAAACUCAGGCAGUCUAGCUCAAAAGCCCAUACUCUCAGUCUCUAAACUACAGCUACCUUACUACUGAGCAUCACACACCAAGUCCUCAGUAAAUGCUGGUUAUUCUUAUUAUCAGCCUUUUUAACAAUGACACUGGAAGCCAGAAGAUAAUGGAGCAAUUCUUAAAAAUUCUGAAAGAAUACAAUUUACACAGUUUACAAUUUAGAAACGUCUAACCAAAUAAACUAUCAAUCAAGUGUGAGACUAGAAUAAAGAUACAUGCAAAAUCUUAAAAAUGUAUUUCCCAAGUCCUCUUUUUUGGGAUCUAUUGGAGUAUGUGUUUCAUUAAAAUGAGUAAGUAAACCAAGAAAAAGCAGGACAGGGACUUCAACAAAGGAGAGAAGUGAAGUGAAUUUCAUGCGGAGAAGAAGGUUCUGGAUGCUUGCUGUGCAGCAACCUGAGAGCAAUCUGUCCAGACUGAAGCAGGAGGGCAGAAGCCACCAGGAGGGAUAAGGCACAACCCACACACAUGCACACACGCACGCACACACACACACACGAGAACUGAUAUAUUCCCUGAAGCGUUUGAGUGUAUUGAGAGUAACUUUCUGGCUCUGGUAGAAAAUCUGGGAAUGAAUUCAUGAAUUUACAUACAUUUAAAAAAAGAGGUAAUAAUUAAAUCCAGGAAAAUAAAAGUUAUACAAAAAAGUAAAUAAGAUCAUGGUACAUUAUCUGGUUUGGCUGUAACUUAUAUUUUCAUAGUAGUAAGUACUACUUUGACACAAAUAAAAAUGCAAAAAACAAAAUAGAACAAAACGGCUUGGAUAUUAUUUCAUAACAGUACAUACAUAUCUGCUAUACCUUUUGUUUUCUUUUUUUUAAAUUAUGAAAUAUUUGAAGCAUCCAGGAAAGUAGAGGAAAUAAUAUAUAGAAACGCACGUAUCUGACACCUAGCUUUGAUUUAACCAUAUACACUUCAGGUCUUUUUUUUCAUUUUACAGAAAUGAACAAUUACAGACACAGCUGGAGUCUCCUGCGUACAUGUGGAGACCUCUCCUGAUCUCAUUUCCUUUGCUCUCUCCCCAGAAGUAACCAUGGUCUUGAAUUCGGUGUUUAUCCUUCCCAUAAGUCUUAACCGCCUGCUAUCUACAAGGCCAGGACAAAGCCCAGCUUCUCUCACCUUGCUAUCCAUUCAGCAGUGCCCUCAAAGAGGUCUGGCGUGAUGAUAUUGGUCAGAGAAGCUACCGAGGCGGCACAGUAUGCACUUCUGGAGGGACAGAAAGAGAGGGAAAAGUGUUAAGCUUCAA